GAGCCAGAGAAGCAGAGACAGGUAAAGACAAUCAGCAGGGGAUGAAGAUGUCAAACACGGCCAAAGAAGAACUGUAAUGACAACCUAGAGGACUUCCUAAGUCUCUCAGGACUCUUCCAGGCAGUUGGAACUUGAGGGAUUUCAACAACUUCUUUGCUGCCUAGACCUUGAGGUCCUUCAUCGAGCCAGUUCCCGGGCCCCUUGCUGCCACACGGAUUUCCUUUCCUUGCUCUGCUGCCAACCCUGCUGGUUCUCUACAAUGAAUGAAGAAGGAUUUACAACAGAGGCUUCUGGCAGUGAGAAUAUAGAAUCUUACCCAGCAUUUGCUCUGAGCUUUGGACAGGGAGGUCUAAGUUUAUCUUCUAUAUUUGUCAUUUUUUGGAUGUUCCAGUUGGCACUUCCAAUACUCCUUUCAAAGGCAUCCAUCUCCUCGACUUCAAAGAGAGUUCCCCGGAAUGAAACCACUACACAGCAAAACAAUCUGGCCAUCUAAUGCUUCCACUGUAUUUGAAACUCAGCAUCAGUAUCUGUGUAAAAUUGAGCCCAGUGAGUCUUGGCUCUGACAAAACUUCCAGGACUUUACCACACGCCAAUGUAGUUCCUUUGCAAAGCUCCUGGUUCCCAAAUGGAAAUCCUGUCUUGGCUCUGUGGAGGUACUGAAGAGCCAUGAGCCAGAGCAGACCAGGGCCUGGAUGUGCUUUUGUUGACAUAAGUGCAUUGACUUGUGGAUAAAUUUUGCAUCGUCCAUGCCCAAAGUCAUAGUGAAGGCAGUGUUCAAGGACGUAUCCUAUCAGCAAUACAGACUUAGUACAGUCUUUUUCACUUCAAACAUUGGCACAUAGACUUGUACAAGAAAAAUUCGGGAUCCAAAGCAACAGUCCUGAGUCCUGGUCCCAAUACUUCAAAAAAGGCUUCAACUCUGACACUCAACUGUACUACCAAGGCUGGAGGACAAAGGCAUUUUGAGAUCUGUGCAAAGCUAGAAAGAAAGCUGUAUGGGACUUUGAGGAGGUGGGAUGGUAUGUAGAAUUUAGACUUUGACAGCAGACAAACCUGAGUUUCAAUCCUGGAAAUAUUCUUUACUGUGCAGUCUUAGAUUACGUUAUUAAAACUUACAAGCUCUGUUUUCUCAUAUGAAAGAUGGAGGGAAUAAUAUGGAUCCCAUUGCUUUGUUGUGAAAUUAACAAUAAUGGCUGGCACAUCGUAGGUGCUUUCAUUAGGAUUCACCAGAAAGAGAGAAACAAUAGUAGAUUAUAAGUAUAGAAAUAUAAUAAAAUAUGUAGAAUAUAUUUAUGUGUCA
rnacentral:lncRNA from 1 species